UAAUACGUAGGGUCCAAGCGUUGUCCGGAUUUAUUGGGCGUAAAGAGCUCGUAGGCGGUUCGGUAAGUCGGGUGUGAAAACCCCAGGCUCAACCUGGGGACGCCACUCGAUACUGCUGUGACUUGAGUUCGGUAGGGGAGCACGGAAUUCCUGGUGUAGCGGUGAAAUGCGCAGAUAUCAGGAGGAACACCGGUGGCGAAGGCGGUGCUCUGGGCCGAAACUGACGCUGAGGAGCGAAAGCGUGGGUAGCAAACAGGAUUAGAUACCCUGGUAGUCCACGCCGUAAACGUUGGGCACUAGGUGUGGGACCCUAUCGACGGGUUCCGUGCCGUAGCUAACGCAUUAAGUGCCCCGCCUGGGGAGUACGGCCGCAAGGCUA
rnacentral:rRNA from 1 species